UACGUAGGGUGCGAGCGUUGUCCGGAAUUAUUGGGCGUAAAGAGCUUGUAGGUGGUUUGUCGCGUCUGCUGUGAAAAUCCGGGGCUCAACCCCGGACUUGCAGUGGGUACGGGCAGACUAGAGUGUGGUAGGGGAGACUGGAAUUCCUGGUGUAGCGGUGGAAUGCGCAGAUAUCAGGAGGAACACCAAUAGCGAAGGCAGCUCGCUGGGACGUCACUGACACUGAGGCGCGAAAGCGUGGGGAGCGAACAGG
rnacentral:rRNA from 1 species